AUAAGCAACCAGCUGAAAAGAGAAAAGUUUACUAAGUAGCAAGCCAAGCCACUGACUAAGUUUUCCAAGGUGAGGUUCAAGCCUCGCACUCUGUCUGUGCUGACCUCUGUAAUUCAGUCAAGUGCAGGGAACUCCACAGCAUAAUUUAUGGCAGCUGGGGACUGCAUUUGUACUCUACCCCGG
rnacentral:snRNA from 1 species